CUCAGAUUGAACGCUGGCGGCAGGCCUAACACAUGCAAGUCGAGCGGUAGCACGGGAGAGCUUGCUCUUUGGGUGACGAGCGGCGGACGGGUGAGUAAUGUCUGGGAAACUGCCUGAUGGAGGGGGAUAACUACUGGAAACGGUAGCUAAUACCGCAUGACCUCGCAAGAGCAAAGUGGGGGACCUUCGGGCCUCUCGCCAUCGGAUGUGCCCAGAUGGGAUUAGCUAGUAGGUGGGGUAAUGGCUCACCUAGGCGACGAUCCCUAGCUGGUCUGAGAGGAUGACCAGCCACACUGGAACUGAGACACGGUCCAGACUCCUACGGGAGGCAGCAGUGGGGAAUAUUGCACAAUGGGCGCAAGCCUGAUGCAGCCAUGCCGCGUGUGUGAAGAAGGCCUUAGGGUUGUAAAGCACUUUC
rnacentral:rRNA from 1 species